AACGAACGCUGGCGGCAGGCCUAACACAUGCAAGUCGAGCGGACCUUUCGGGGUCAGCGGCGGACGGGUGAGUAACGCGUGGGAAUAUGCCCUUCUCUACGGAAUAGUCCUGGGAAACUGGGGGUAAUACCGUAUACGCCCUUUGGGGGAAAGAUUUAUCGGGGAAGGAUUAGCCCGCGUUGUAUUAGGUAGUUGGUGGGGUAAUGGCCUACCAAGCCGACGAUCCAUAGCUGGUUUGAGAGGAUGAUCAGCCACACUGGGACUGAGACACGGCCCAGAGUCCUACGGGAGGCAGCAGUGGGGAAUCUUAGACAAUGGGGGCAACCCUAAUCUAGCCAUGCCGCGUGAGUGAUGAAGGCCUUAGGGUUGUAAAGCUCUUUCAGCUGGGAAGAUCAUGACGGUACCAGCAGAAGAAGCCCCGGCUAACUCCGUG
rnacentral:rRNA from 1 species